rnacentral:lncRNA from 1 species
UAGGGAGUAAUGGUAAUUUGCCUGGGUUAUAAGACUUGUCCAAAAAGGAUAAGUAUUCAAGGAUGAUAUAAUAAAAACUUUCAUGUAGCACAUAAAAGAGAAAUUGUGCGUUAAUGAUAUUGAUGUGGUAAUAUGAAAGGGCAUGAGUACGCGGUUGUUGGUUAGUAGAAAUAUCGAUAGUUAAAGGGUUUGUGCGUUAAUGAUAUUGAUGUGGUAAUAUGAAAGGGCAUGAGUACACGGUUGUUGGUUAGUAGAAAUAUCGAUAGUUAAAGGGUGUUACUUCUUGUUCAUCUAAAUAUUGGUUAUGGCAUGGUGAUGAUGCGUUAGCAUUCUUAUUCCUUGUUGAAAUCCUAGUGUUGUUUAGGUUGGCGGCACGCGAUGGUUAACUCCUACCAACCUCGUCCCUAGGGGCAUGCAGUAGUACUUCGAUUCAAGAGAGCUAAUAAGGCUUUGUAAUAAGUAUAUAAGUUAUUUAUGAUUAAUGUGAAUUCAUGGAUGUACGCACACUCACCUUUCCCUAUUUGCUAGCCUCUUCGGUAUCAUGCAUUACCCAUUCUCACCUCGAGGAUCGAUGCAACCUUCAUCGGUGCAUUCAAACCCCUUGAUAUGAUACGCUCUAUCACACAUGAGCUACCUUAUAUCUUCCUCAAAACAACCACCAUACCUACCUAUAAUGGCAUUUUCAUAGCCAUUCCGAGAUGUAUUGCCAUACAACUUCCACCGUUACAUCACAUGACUUGUGUGUUCAUCAUCAUACUGCUUUGCACGAUCAUAUAGCUAACAUAGUAUUCGUGGAACAACCACCAUUCAUUAUAAUUUACAUGUUAUGCGAGAUCAUUGCACAUCCUCGUAAACUAUGAGAGGCAUUCAUAUAGAUUCAUCUUGUUUAUUAGUUUUUCAUAUCGAGUUGUAAGUAGAUAGAAUUGUGAUGUUAAUCGUUAUUAGAGCAUUGUGUCAGUGAGGAAAGGAUGCUGGAGACUAUGACCCCCGAGAAGUCGGGAUGAAACUGUGGACGAAAAAUNGUCUUUCGUCCCAGAAAAAAUAAAAAAGAGAGAAAACAAGAAAAAAGAAGAAUAAAGAACGAAAAAAAGAAAUCAGAGGAAAGAUAGAAGGGAGAGUGCUACAACCUCUUUUUCCACACUUAUGCUAAGAGAAAGCCCCAUUUUUCAUAUAGAGAGAGUCUCAUGAGUUGUCAUUUUCAUAUGUUAGUGGGAACUUUUCCUUAUAUACUUGGCUUGUAUAUUCCGAUGACGGGCUUACUCAAAUGAUUGAGGUCUUCAUGAGCAAGAAAGUUGGAUGCACACCCACUUAGCUUCCAUUGAGCUUUCAUACACUUAUAGCUCUAGGGAAUCUAUUGCAUGGCAUUCCCUACUCCUCGCAUUGAUAUCGAUUGAUGCAUGAUACGUCUCCAACGUAUCUACUUUUCCAAACUCUUUUGCCCUUGUUUUGGACUAUAAUUUGCAUGAUUUGAAUGGAACUAACCUGGACUGACGUUGUUUUCAGCCGAAUUGCCUUGGUGUUAUUUU